UAUGUGGAGUAUCGCUCUGAGCGAGUGGCCUCACUUUAUGUGUGUGUAACAAAGUCUGUUUAUUACUCGGAGAGAAUUUGAUGUUUUAUUGAAAAAGCAAAAAGCAGAGUUGAAUGAAUAUCGCAAUUGAAUUUCAUUGCAAGCUAAUGAAACGCAGGAAUUUAUAUUCUCCAUAAUGCAAACCAAUGGCACCCAUCAUUAAACAUGAAAUUAUGUCUUAUGCUGUCUCCUCAGAGCACUCGCUAAUCACCAAACAGAAAGUUAAAAGUGCAAGAAAGACCCUGUCAGUCUCCUUCUCACCAACCUUUGCAACGAUCAUGUCCAUCCAUACUUCACUACCACUUCCUGGCGCUUAUAAAUACCGGCACUUGACCUUAUAAUGGACCGCGGUGUCAGUCAAAUUGUGGACAAAGGAGUGGGUGUCUGGAAAGGGUGCUAAGGAGGGGAGAAGGGGACGAUGUGUGGGAGUCCAAAGGGGACGGCUGGCUGGCUGGCUGUUUAUGGAGGGUCGGGUAGCGAGUGCAAGAGUCUAAGCCCGGAUUUCCCUCCCUCCAGCCACUUCAACCAACUCUUCCAUGCACAUGUGUAGUGGAUCUUAGACAUAUUUCAUUCAUGAAUAUGUGAUCAGCUGGCAUCAAACCCUCUGAAUCAUUUAAAUCACACUGUCUCAGCACUGGUGAGGUAUUUGAACUGGCCCACCGGCUGCUCAUGUAUUCCUUUCGGGCUGCCUGUUGCCUACAGGCACCAUGUUGGGACUUCUCUUUUAAAUCAUCCCACGGAGCAGCACAGCUCUGGGAUGCGAGGGCCACUUGAACAAUUUGAGUUAUGACCUACAGCACGUGACCAGAGGAGAGAAGAAAAUAGAUUCACUGGAAAAUCGAGAACUUCACCUUUCCGUUCAGCUCCUUCAUCACCAUGACACAC